rnacentral:misc_RNA from 1 species
UUGUUUAUGUUUUGACAAUUCACAUUCAUUACACUAAAGUAUUGGUGUUUUGCGCCUGGGGCCCGAGAACCCCAAAGCAUACAGUUCACAGUGUGUGUGGAAUAGACACGGCCCAGAGGCCAAUCUCUAAUGAUCCUUCCGCAGGUUCACCUACGGAAA